rnacentral:rRNA from 1 species
AGCGAACGCUGGCGGCAGGCCUAACACAUGCAAGUCGAACGAAGUCUUCGGACUUAGUGGCGGACGGGUGAGUAACACGUGGGAACGUACCUUUUGGUUCAGAACAACUCAGGGAAACUUGAGCUAAUACCGGAUGAGCCCUUAGGGGGAAAGAUUUAUCGCCGAAAGAGCGGCCCGCGUUAGAUUAGCUAGUUGGUGAGGUAAAGGCUCACCAAGGCUACGAUCUAUAGCUGGUCUGAGAGGAUGAUCAGCCACACUGGGACUGAGACACGGCCCAGACUCCUACGGGAGGCAGCAGUGGGGAAUCUUGCGCAAUGGGCGAAAGCCUGACGCAGCCAUGCCGCGUGAAUGAUGAAGGUCUUAGGAUUGUAAAAUUCUUUUACCAGGGACGAUAAUGACGGUACCUGGAGAAAAAGCCCCGGCUAACUUCGUGCCAGCCGCCGCAGUAAAAC